GUGUUAUUUUAAACAGGCUUUGCCGUUUGCAUCUUUCAUGCUACACUGAUGUGAAUAAUUCAUGUCCUCACUGUAGAUGUGUGCAAUAUUGUUACUCGCAUGAAUCGGAAUUUCUGGUUGGCUUUUAUUUAAGGGCUUCAACACUGAGUAAUGCUGAGCACUGUCAGUUCCCAUGAACUUAAUGGUAUCUUAGGUUCUUAAUUAAUUCAGUUCAGCAAUUCACAGGAUCAGGCCCUGACCGACAAAUGCAGACCCAUAUGCUGUCAGGAGCCACAUUAUUCUUCAUGCAUCUCCAAAACCUGUGUUUGCUUUGUGCCAGUGUCUAACACCCAAUCCUUCCUGACUUAUAUAUUCUUUAAAAACUGUUUGAUACAUUUCAUAGGAAGCAGAACUGAAUGUUUGCAAAGCAGAGAUGAAUUAAGAUGUAUUAUAUGCUGUUAAUUAUAUAAAGAUGUCAGUGCAUUUGUAAUAAAGCAUUAUUUAUCCAGGAGUAGCAAAGGUUGCUAUAAAAACCAAGAAGCCAGCUUUUAGGGGAAGAUAAUAGAUUUCAAUGUGUGCAACUCUUGUAGGUUAAUUGGAUUUCCUUAAUGAAAUUCCCCUCAGCCACAUGAAACCCUUGGGUUUGUUCUCUGAAUUUCAUUAUGACUUGCAGAGUCUUCUCUGCCCCCAAAUCAAAUGCAAUAAAAACACCAGAGUUGGCUUCACUUCAGUGUUUUAUGAACACUCACAUGUAAUCAAAACUUGGUUUACAGACACCUUGUGUGCCUGCAGUUUUGAAGGGGAAUUAGCAGAGUUCACCUGACAUUUCUGAGUGUGCUUUGACUCUGAAGUGUGUUUUAGCUGUUACUGCAGUGCUCAGUAAACAAUUGCAUCAAAAUACAGACCCAGGUUUUACUGAUGUGCACCCACAGUGUUUCAUUAGCAGUAAUGCCUGGUUAGAAGUAGAUUUACUUGAAGUAAUCUCCUGGAAUUCAAAACAGCUCUAGUUAAUUGCAAAAAGGCCUUUUUAAUCUGGCUAGCUUACUUAUGGCACACUGCUCCUCUCUGCCUGUCACUCUCAUUUCCUGAGUGAAAAAGUGAAUGGCAGCUUCAAGCUCAGGAUCUUUUUUAAUCAUUAAAAGAAAUGGAUGUGCUGUCCUCUGUUGGUCAUACUGGUUGUCACAAGUAAAAUUCAAUUAAAAAGGCAGCAAGAGGCUGUUUUAGCAACAACAACAAAAGAAUAUGAAACUAAAAUAAAUUUGAUUCACUUUCUGCAUUCACCAAUAUCACUGCAUAGUGUGAGGGAUUUUAAUUUUUUUAAUUAUGUAAUGACAGAAACUGGAUUAUGGAGAGGACUCAUUUCACACGACCGUGGUACAAACUCAGCCCUAGGAUUCCCUGUCCCCAGCUGCUGGUUCGCCCUCCGUGCCCAGUGUGAGUGGCGCAGGGAGCCAGGGCUGCUGGGGACCAAGCGCCUGGCGAGAGAGGGAGUUUGGGGGUUAAAUUUCACAUCACCAGACACAGGUGUGGUGUGGGGACAGAGCUGGUGUGCCCGUCACUGCUCAGUGACCCGUGCGGUGCCACGGCAGCUGGGCAGCCUCUCAGGGCAGGUGCCAAUGGCAGCGGUGUGUGAUGCACAGCCCUGCCUGGCCCGUGCCGCACUCCCUGGGGCUCUGCUGGCCAGAAAUGCCCUGCUCUGAGCACUGCUGCUAAGCCUCACUCAUUGCUCUGCUCAAGGAGAUGUAGCAUCUGGACAGGAUUGGAGGAUUGUAGCAAGGAUGAUUAGAGGUGUAGAAAACCUGGCCUAAAAGGAGAGAUUUUAAGAUUUGGGCACUGCGUUGUCUAAGAAGGAUAAAGCUGAAGGCAAAUACAGCAACACUUUCAAAAAAGGUUUAACAUCAGGUAAGUGAAUCCAUUGUGGCAGUAGACCCGUGUGACGUGUUAAUUAUUUCUACCUCUUAACUGCAGCUGGAGUUACUAUUUCUGGGCUGCACAAGUUUCUCUAGGCUGUGAGUGCACAGAUAGUUUUCUAAUUACAAAAUUAAUUUCAAGUUAAUAACUACAAGACAUGUCUAAAUGUUACUUAGCAACAUUGUUAUCACACUAAUAGUUUAGUAAUGUUAUUCAACAAAAUGUAAGUUUUGUCUGCAAACUGUGGAAAAACAAGCUCUGUGUUACCUGAUUUCUGUGUCAUCUAACACAGACUCACAGGCCUCAAACCAUCAUUAAGAGGGUGAGACAACACAACAGCCAUAAGAGCCACAACAGCUCUUGUGCAUACCUGGCUUUGUCCUAUAAAUAUAUUAUUUCUAAAAAACAAGCAAGAAUUUAUGAAAGCUUUACUCAUCAGUGGCAAGGUGGCUCAUCUCCACCUGCCUGAGAGGCUUAUCCCUGAGGCUGUAAGAAGCAGAAAGCAGUAUUUAUCAGAUAUGUGUUUUGUCCUUGAGUUUGAUUUUUGCAUUUAAUUUUUACAGCCCUCCUGUGAAAGUAGUUUCAGGGACAUGGAUGUAACUCACUGUCCUUUGUAUCUAUGAGUAAAAAUAUCUAAGAAUAUUUACAAAAUCCAGUGCAAACAGUUGAGGACGUGUCUUUCUGUUCAUACAACAAAUGUAGAGUUUAUAUUCCUGACAACAGUGGUGCAGAAUAUGAGAGGAAGAUUUAUCAGGAAGAGAACAAAAUUGAUUGUGUGGACAUACUGGUCAGUAAAAUUUCAAAUGGUAAGUAAAUAUCAAACAUGAAUCAAUAACGAUUUCCUUCAAUUAGUAAUUCUGUUCCUAUUUACACUGUUAGGAUGGGUUUAAGUGCUGUCAACCCUUAACUGUGUGUGUGGGUUUGGUGCCUGGUCCUGUCAGUGUCACCGAGCUGGACCUCCUGGCCACUUGCAGUCGGGUCCUGCUGGAUCAGCUGUGCCCAAAACACCCAGUGUUUGUUCCACCUGGAGAAGGGGAGCACUGCUCGGCUCCUGAGAAAGUAGCCCCCACACCUUUACCCAUUUUCAGUGUCACAGGGAGUCCUUUUCUAUUAAAGCACAGAAAAUGUAAAGUACACAGUAAUCAGAUUGCAAAUAAUCCUUCUAAGUGGUUAGUGAGACAGAUGAAGAAACCUCAUGGUUCACUAAUCAGAAGACAGAACCAAAUUAAUAAAUACUUAAUUACAUGGUGGCAGGGUGGGGGUGAACCAGUGAAAGGGACCUGGGGGAUUACAGGAUGAUCUUGAUAGCUGCAGCCCCUCUUCGAACAAGAGUUUGAAGGAGCUGGAGGAUCUCUCCAAACAAGAGCCUGCAGAGACUCCACUUGUUCCUCCCAGGAAUGACUCCAUGUUAAGGUGGGCACCAGCACUUGCCUCAAGGGUGCUGUGUAGAAAAGGCAUGUGAUGUGACUUCCACUCGGCUUCUGCAGUCACCCUGGCUUUUCACAUUUCAAACUAUUUUUUGUUUCUUCAGGCUGAGCUGAGGGUCUCUUGAAAAUAGGAUUAGGCUCCAAGAAAAAACCGAAGAAAAACGUUUCUGUUGCUCCAGAUAUGAGGAGGGCGGUCGUGCAGUAGCUGAGGCUUACAGCAGGGAAGGAAUGACCGUACGCAGGGGUGCCAUGACAUUCACCAGAACGCUUUGUUGGGGCCGGAGGAGCCGCUGCCGCCGGUGCGAGACCUUUGGUUGGGUACGGGCGCUCGGGUGGAGCCGGGGACCCGGUGGGAGGGAGCGGCUCUGCCGUCGCCGGGUCAAGCUUUGCAGAGCCGCCAUGCCCGGCGGGUCCGGCUCUCCGCGGAGGGUCGCGACUGCGGCCGCCGGGCCCGGGCGGGGCUCUGCCUUCCCCUAAAAAGGAGAGGGAGAGCUCCCGCCUGCGCGGACCCGCCAAGGCACGGACGGGGUUCGAACCCGUGAUCUUCGGUUUACGAGACCGACGCCUUACCACUUGGCCACCGCGCCUGCGUUAAGGGCUCUUCCUGACGCCCUUCUAUCGCUGGCGCCACUCCCGCGCGCCCGCCCACGCCCCGCCCUCGUGCGUGCCUGCGCCGCCACCUGCCGGGGGCGCGCGGCCCUGAGGCGCUGAGGGUGCGGCGGGAGCUGAGGGGGCGGAAAGGGAGGGAGGGAUCGGGACCGCGCCCGCUCCCGCUCUCGCUCUCCCUCUGCGUCUCCCGCUCUUGGAGCUCCCAGGAACUUCCCCUCCGGAUGUGGAGGCGUUCUGAAGGCAGCGUCCUCCGAGUCGGCCCCGGGGCUGUGAGGGUGCGGUGCCCGGAGAUAGCCCUCGAGGGGCUGCUUCACACCGGCCAGAACGGCUUAGAGAGGAGGAAAUAAGUAGGAUUAAAACUUUCCUCCUCCGAGAAGAGAAGCAGGAAUGUAAAAACGUUGGGAUAAUUAAAUGGUAAAUACUAAAUUAAACACACUUGCUGCCUGGUAGCUGUUCCCUCAAAAAACUCAGUGUUGUGAAGUGCAGAAAAGAUGCUUUCUAGCUAUUUUCUAGAUUGGGUCUCCUACAUUGUUACGAGUGUGACCUGAAAACAAAGCUUUUAUUUUUCAUUUAAUGUUCGUUGUGGAUGUCUGUUUAAAUUCUCCACAAAACUGUUGCUUGAUAUCCAAGUUUUAUAUUCCUUUUGGUGUGGUUUUGGUUUCCUUGAGGAAGAAGCAUGUGAACAUAUUACAGAGGUACCAUUGUAAAGGUUGAGAUAAGAGUUACUGAUUUGGUAGUGCUGUAAUGCAGGUGCAUUAAAAGGUUGAUAUACAACCAAAAUAGCUUGGCUUGGAAGAGACCUUCAAAGGUCCUCUAGUUGAACCACCCUGCAGUGAGCAGGGAAAUAAUUAAGUAUCCUUUUGGGAUGUUCUUUGAGGUCUUGUUAUGGAAAAAUCAUGCUUGAUCCUUGACUGUAUGAAAAAAGUUUAGUUCUUGAAAAGUUAUCAUUUGUUAGUUUAUCUAUAAUAACUCUAUGACUGCAUUUAAACAAACAGAGUGAUUUGAAUUAGCUUGACCUGCAAUGAAAAGUGCUUAAUUUAAAUUACCUUACUGGAUAGUCAGCCCUUGUUAAGUGUAUUUGCUGCUGCCUUGGAAAAUCUGCCCCAAAAAACUGCUUUUCCAGUCCCUCUGGGCAUAACUGAUGGCCUGCCCAAUCUAAAUGCUUGCUGGAAUUUAUCUGCUACUCUUGUUCAUCAUAUGCCCUCAUCUGGACUAUGGAAAGCUGGAAAGUGAGAAUAGCACUGUUGUAUUCUGCUUUUGUCUUGUCAGUGUAAUCACUGCAGCAUUUUCAAGUGUGAUGGUGUGUGUGAGUGGAAGCUGCCUCCCUCAACUCUCACACCUGUCAUGUUUAUGAAUACCGUGGCCUCAGAGAGCCAUUUCCCUGGCUGAAGGAGUUACUCUUAGCUGGCAGCAGGAAGGAGUUCAGUUUUAAUCAGUCAUAUCUGAUUGAUGAUAUGCCAUUUCUGGCCUACUUGCUUAUUACAAAAUAUGCUCUUUUAUGUGCCAUACUUGCCAGUUGUAACUUGUCUUCACGGUCCCUGUGCAGGUCGCAUCUGUGUUUACUGAUGUUUUUGGAUCCUUGUGAGCUGAGAGGGUUCAAGAAUGAUGCAGUGGAUGACAGACUAGCCCUGCAGUCCUUUUUCUGCAGAGAAGACUGGAGACUCAACUUCAGGAAUAUCUUUGGUAAGGUUGCAGACUAUACCUUGGGGUGUGGGGAAACCUGUGUGACUUCUUUGCCAUCAAAGAAAAAUCUGCUUCUUGAGACAGUAGAAAUGCUCUAAGAGAUACGUCCCUCUAGCAACAUCUGUACAAUAAACAAGCCAAUAAGCAGGAGCAAAUGGCAUUAAACGUGGUACACAGUAAAGACAAAUCUGCUGAUGGCCAUCUGUAGAACAUGUUUGAAUAAACUGAGGUUUUCUUGGAAAUCAGGGUUUAGCCUGUGGGAAGUUCACUCAGCAAAAUAUCAAGUUUUAUCAAGCCUUGUUUUGUGUCUACAUCAAAUAGUAACAUGAAGGCGGCUUGUAAGGGAGGGUUAUGUGUUUGUAUUCUUUGUCACUGUAAAACAGCCCCCCAGAUUGCCAGCUGGCACCAAACCAAAUGCUUUAUCUCUCUUAUACUCCAGUUGUAAUUUAAAUGUAAUGUACAAAUAUAUGGUCAAAAAGUGCUGCACUUGUUUUGUAAUAUUUGUGUUUGGUGUGUGAUAUCUGAAUAUAAGUUUGUGGCAUAUAUAGCCUACAAACUUUUACAAUGAUUAAAGUUCAUAGAGAAAAGGUAUUUUAUGGAAUUUGAAGUGAUUAUUAGUAAUUUUUAAUUUAUUCUGUUUACUCAAUUACGAUUUACUUCUUUACAGGGUUUUUAAUAUUUGGCCAGGUUCUGAUGGCAUCAGUGUAGAAUAGACAGGAAAGGGUGGGUGAUUAGUACAGGACUACCUUCACAAGGGAAAGUAUAACACUAAAUAUUUAAAUGAAACAGCUUCAUCCUUAAAAGAAACUUGUGCAAACAGCUCAUAGCUCAUUCUCCUGAAAAAAUGCAAUCAGGUGUUCUAGAAGCUGAGCAGAAUGCAAAUUGAAAAUACAAAAUCUCACAACCAAACACAUCUUGAAAACCUUGGAAGAAUUUGGUAAAGUCCUAUAUUAAAGUACAUUACACGAGGUUUGUAGUCAGAGGACAAAGGGGAAUGGAUUCAAAUAGAAAGAGAGUAGAUUUAGGUUGGGUAUUAGGAGGAAGUUCUUUACUGUGGUGCUGAGAUACUGGAGUGAGUCACCCAGAGCAGCUGUGGUUGCCCCAAUCCCUGGCAGUGUCUAAGGACAGGUUGGACAGGGCUUGAAGCAACCUGGGAUAGUGGAAGGUGUCCUUGCUCAUUGCAGGGAACAAGAUGAACUUGAAGGUCCCUUCCAACCCAGGCCAUUCUAUGACUAAAUGACUAUAUUAAAAAUUGCAAAAAAAAAAAAUGAAAAUCCAAACCUAAACUCUAAGGGUUCAGCAAGUCUCUGUUCUUACAGAAUUUCUCUGAUUUUGAAGACAAAUCAUAUUCUUUUGGAGUUUGUCUAAGUGCAGGUUCAUUCUUACUCCUUUUUGUGGGAAAGGUACUUAGAACAUAGGCCAAAUGUUUCAGACUCACAGAAGUCAGAAUGAUAUAUUCACUUUAAAGUAGUAACCACAGACAAAUGAACAGUUUUCCUUUUUUAUUUGAGACACUUAGCAAAAAUGCUGAAAUAUCAAACAUUUCCUCAGUAGCUACAAUAUUGCCACUAUGUACAAAAUAUUUGAUAAAUGUAGUACACAUAUAAAAAUACAGUAUGCAUUACAUAUAUACAGUACAAUGUGCAAAACAUAUGGCAUUCAAACAUAUGGAAUUGAUUUCAGGGGUGCAAACAGCAAAUACAAAGGCAUCAUGGUUUCUUCUAGAAAGGCAAUACAUAAACUGACGCCCUGAUUGCCAUAAUUUGCAUUUAGUAAAGUAGUGCUUACAUGAAGAGGGCCCCAGAGACAGGUGUUUAUCUUCUUCUUUUCACAAAAUGAGAUGCUAAGACAUAAUUAUGACUAUGAAAAUAAGAAGAGAAACACCUACUAGGGUUAGCAUUAUUUCUACUGCAAGCCGUACUGUGAAGAAAAUCCUAUCUGGAAAAAAAGCCUGUGCUAUUACUUACUACAAAUUUCUCAAACAACAAAAACAAAUCUGUACUGUUAAACAUCAAAAACAGCUUUGAAAAUAUCUACAUCCUUAAUUUUAAAAAAGUAUGGAUAACACUUCUGGGGACUUAAUUUCCUAUAUUUUAAAAUACAAAGUGCCUCCUUUGGCAAUAUAAAUGGCAAUGCUUUGGUUCCUAUUUAAAUUUUUAUAUUAUUAUAAUUUAUUUUAGGCUGUCUUUUGAAUAUCUGAGCUGUAUAUUUUUAUAAAAAUAGUGUGAUUAUAUAGUUAUUAACCAUUCCCUGCUUUUUUUUUGAGAAUUUGAUCUCAUAGCUAGAAUGGCUUUUUUUGGCUAGACUUCUACAAAUACAUUUAUGCACUUUUAACUUAAAAACACUUUAUAUUCAGUAUUGGACACUACAGAAUGAUGUAGGUGUCUCUUUUUUGCACUUUCUUCCUAGCAAACUGGUAUAAAAGGAAUAUUUGAGAUUAUUUCCCAUUUUAAUGGAUGCUCUUUAUUGGCCAUGUAUAUACUAUAUGUAACUCAAUUCCACAGAUCUCACAUGAAAUACCUUCUGGAGUAUGGUUUAGAAGUCACUGAAAGGUGUUUUCAUAAACCACAAUGUGAAGAGUUUCAACAGAACAUUUACUAGAGAUAAGUGGAAGAUUUUUUUUCCAGUUUUAAUAGUGUUUGCUUUAAGUUUAUAAUACACUUAAGAUGCCAUCCAAAUAGUAAUUGUUUACAUUAGUGAGCUUUCCUGUGUUUUGAUUACAUAAUGCUGUUCCAGUUCAAUGUAAUUGCAGUUUCUCUGCCUUGAAAGUAAGUUCAGCAGCUUGUGCUUGGGUUCUGAUUACAGUUGCCUAUGCUUUUGAGGCAUCUGAAUGUUUGAGAUUCUAUAACAGAAAAGUUUAAUAUUGACACUUCUGUUUGAAUUAUCAUCUUCUCUGAACAUGACUCCUGCUGUGAAUUUAGGAAUACCUGGGAAAUAAAUGUCAGUAUUAGGUAGUGAUUAUUUCUAAAAGCUGUGACCUCAGCUUUUUAAUGUUCUGAUUCUGCAGGUCUGCAAGCCCACAUUGCUGGAUUACACUUUAAAUUUCUGUAGAGAACAACUGCCAUAAAUUGAUUUUAUUAUCAGAGAGUAUGACAAUGCUUCUUUAAUUAUUUCUAAUGUUAAACAAAAUUUUACCUGUAAACUUCCUUGCUGUAACUGAUGCUGAAUGGCACUAAAAGUGCGUAACAAAUUCCAUUUCUCUACUGAACACAGGAUGUAACUCUUGAGUAACACGAGCUUUAUAAAACUUGUCUGAGCUCUCUGUCUAGAUGUGUAAACAACCAACUUUUGAUUUUCACACUGAUUAAAAGAUAUUCUUAAUUACUUUGAAGGACCCACUAACACCACAUUUGAUAGGAUGCAUUCUGUUAGUAUACUGCAGCCAUUAAAUGGCAAAUUUAGUGCCAGUGCAUUCCUUUGCAACUGUUCUCUUAAUGAGAAAGAUUCAGUUCUGUGCAGUCAAACUGCACAGCAUGAUUAAAUUUAUAAGAUGUAUUUGUAUUGUGCUACAAAAAUUUCCAUGUAAAACAUGCACACACGAAAGUCUAAGCAAAACUUACUUCUGCCAUAAACAGGCAUAUACAACUAUGGCAAACAUUCCAGAACAAAGUCAAAAGCAAACCAUUUUAUAUAAAGUUUAAUACACAAUUCUGAAAUGUACAGAAAAGUAAUCACACAUUCCCUACACUAGAAUAUUUGUACUUCAGAAACUAAAAUGAUCCCUUAUUAUUAUUAUUUUUUUUCCAAAUAGACGUUCAGAGCAGAAAGCUAUACCGUACUGAUAACAAGACAUCUCAGCUGUUUGGGUUUAUUUCUGCACAAAGAUUCCUAUGGAUUAAUUAACAUUCUACACUGCCAAUAAGGGUAAUUUUGUAGCAAGAUGACUUUGCCAGUUUAAAGCUCUAUUUACAUGCACAUCAAAAAUGACAGUACAGUUGCUCUAGGUUAAUUUGUCCUCUAAAAAUUAAUUUACUUGCCUCUCAUUUAAUCAGGAGGCAGGGUCAAAAAGGGAUAACUCUAACCACACAUGUAUUGUAUGAUGUCUGGUGUAUCACACAUAAACUGACAGUACUGCAGAACACUAAAUUUCAUUCAGAGUUGUUCCUAUCAGACCAAGAGUCCUCAAUUCUUGUUCUCCUAACAGCCGAGGGCACUUCGUAUCUCAAAGUAUUAGCUCCCAAGAUAGGAUGAUGAACAGGAAUGCAAAAAGUUGAAUGUUAAGUGUUCACUGUUAUUGAAAAGUCCUAUACCAUCAAAGCUUAAGGCAGACAGUCCACAUGUAAUAUUGUACUCAAGUAUUGUAGGCACAGCAAGAAGGAAUAAGGAAUUAUAUCUUUCAACUGCAUGUAGUGAAAAUCUCCUAAGAUUGUUUUCUUGUACUUAGUUUCAUAUUACAGUAAUUCUUGGCCAGUAAAACCAGUGAAGAUACAUAAUGAUUUAAAGUGCUGUAAUUGAUAUGAUGCAAACAUAUGGUAGGUAUCAGUUCAAACCCCGAAUCAAUGAUGUAAUCCAUUAUUUUAUCUGAAGCCAAUGGAAUUCUG